UAGUGAGUUUGAUCCUGGCUCAGAACGAACGCUGGCGGCAGGCUUAACACAUGCAAGUCGAACGGGCGUCGCAAGACGUCAGUGGCAGACGGGUGAGUAACACGUGGGAACGUCCCCCUCGGUUCGGAAUAACUCAGGGAAACUUGAGCUAAUACCGUAUACGUCCGAGAGGAGAAAGAUUUAUCGCCGAGGGAUCGGCCCGCGUCUGAUUAGCUAGUUGGUGGGGUAAUGGCUCACCAAGGCGACGAUCAGUAGCUGGUCUGAGAGGAUGAUCAGCCACACUGGGACUGAGACACGGCCCAGACUCCUACGGGGAGGCAGCAGUGGGAAUCUUAGA
rnacentral:rRNA from 1 species